GACGAACGCUGGCGGCGUGCUUAACACAUGCAAGUCGUACGGUAAGGCCCUUUCGGGGGUACACGAGUGGCGAACGGGUGAGUAACACGUGAGUAACCUGCCCACAACUUUGGGAUAACGAUAUGAAACUGGUGCUAAUACUGGAUAUGUGCUCCUGCUGCAUGGUGGGGGUUGGAAAGCUCCGGCGGUUGUGGAUGGACUCGCGGCCUAUCAGCUUGUUGGUGGGGUAGUGGCCUACCAAGGCGGCGACGGGUAGCCGGACUGAGAGGGUGACCGGCCACAUUGAGACUGAGAUACGGCCCAGACUCCUACGUGAGGAAGCAGUGGGGAAUAUUGCACAAUGGGCGCAAGCCUGAUGCAGCAGCGCCGCGUGCGGGAUGACGGCCUUCGGGUUGUAAACCGCUUUCAGCAGGGACGAAGCUUUUUGUGACGGUACCUUAAGAAGAAGCACCGGCUAACUACGUG
rnacentral:rRNA from 1 species